rnacentral:rRNA from 1 species
UACAGAGGGUGCGAGCGUUAAUCGGAAUUACUGGGCGUAAAGCGUGCGUAGACGGUCAUGUAAGUCGGGUGUGAAAGCCCCGGGCUCAACCUGGGAAUUGCAUUCGAGACUGCAUGGCUAGGAUGCGGAAGAGGGAAGCGGAAUUUCCGGUGUAGCGGUGAAAUGCGUAGAUAUCGGAAGGAACACCAGUGGCGAAAGCGGCUUCCUGGUCCAGCAUCGACGUUCAGGCACGAAAGCGUGGGGGAGCAAACAGG